GAUGAACGCUAGCUACAGGCUUAACACAUGCAAGUCGAGGGACCGGCGCACGGGUGAGUAACGCGUAUCCCACCUACCCAAUACUCAGGCAUAACCCGUUGAAAGACGGACUAAUUCCUGACGGUAUUGGAUGGGGAUGCGUCUGAUUAGUUUGUUGGUGAGGUAACGGCUCACCAAGACUUCGAUCAUUAGGGGUUCGGAGAGGAAGGUCCACUACAUUGGAACUGAGACACAGUCCAAACUCCUACGGGAGGCAGCAGUGAAGAAUAUUGGUCAAUCGAUGCAAAUCUGAACCAGCCAAGUAGCGUGCAGGAUGACGGCCUAGGGGUUGUAAACUGCUUAUAUGUGAGAAUAUGUAUUACAUGAAGAAGGACCGGCUAAUUCCGUGCCAGCAGCCGCGGUAAUAC
rnacentral:rRNA from 1 species